AUGGGCCUUGCUGCAGGCGUGGUAAUCUUAGCAAGAGGGCUGAACGUCUCCUCAGAAUCCUGUCCAUAUUUCAUAGUGAACCUCUUUGCCACUAAGCGAGCACCGGGCCUACCUUUGUGGGUCUCUCAACUGUCUGGGAUUAGAAGAGCUCAAGGAUUAGGCCUCUGUCGCGCAGCUUGUCCACAGAAGUCUCAGUUCAACAUCUUAAUGAACCAGGCCGUUAAGGAUGUUGAGGGGACCCGUGAAGGUUAUAUUUGA